AGAGUUUGAUCCUGGCUCAGAUUGAACGCUGGCGGCAUGCUUUACACAUGCAAGUCGGACGGCAGCACAGGGAAGCUUGCUUCUCGGGUGGCGAGUGGCGAACGGGUGAGUAACAUAUCGGAACGUACCGGGUAGCGGGGAUAACUGAUCGAAAGAUCAGCUAAUACCGCAUACGUCUUGAGAGGGAAAGCAGGGGACCUUCGGGCCUUGCGCUAUCCGAGCGGCCGAUAUCUGAUUAGCUGGUUGGCGGGGUAAAGGCCCACCAAGGCGACGAUCAGUAGCGGGUCUGAGAGGAUGAUCCGCCACACUGGGACUGAGACACGGCCCAGACUCCUACGGGAGGCAGCAGUGGGGAAUUUUGGACAAUGGGCGCAAGCCUGAUCCAGCCAUGCCGCGUGUCUGAAGAAGGCCUUCGGGUUGUAAAGGACUUUUGUCAGGGAAGAAAAGGCCGUUGCCAAUAUCGGCGGCCGAUGACGGUACCUGAAGAAUAAGCACCGGCUAACUACGUGCCAGCAGCCGCGGUAAUACGUAGGGUGCGAGCGUUAAUCGGAAUUACUGGGCGUAAAGCGGGCGCAGACGGUUACUUAAGCAGGAUGUGAAAUCCCCGGGCUCAACCCGGGAACUGCGUUCUGAACUGGGUGACUCGAGUGUGUCGGAGGGAGGUGGAAUUCCACGUGUAGCAGUGAAAUGCGUAGAGAUGUGGAGGAAUACCGAUGGCGAAGGCAGCCUCCUGGGAUAACACUGACGUUCAUGUCCGAAAGCGUGGGUAGCAAACAGGAUUAGAUACCCUGGUAGUCCACGCCCUAAACGAUGUCAAUUAGCUGUUGGGCAACUUGAUUGCUUGGUAGCGUAGCUAACGCGUGAAAUUGACCGCCUGGGGAGUACGGUCGCAAGAUUAAAACUCAAAGGAAUUGACGGGGACCCGCACAAGCGGUGGAUGAUGUGGAUUAAUUCGAUGCAACGCGAAGAACCUUACCUGGUUUUGACAUGUGCGGAAUCCUCCGGAGACGGAGGAGUGCCUUCGGGAGCCGUAACACAGGUGCUGCAUGGCUGUCGUCAGCUCGUGUCGUGAGAUGUUGGGUUAAGUCCCGCAACGAGCGCAACCCUUGUCAUUAGUUGCCAUCAUUCGGUUGGGCACUCUAAUGAGACUGCCGGUGACAAGCCGGAGGAAGGUGGGGAUGACGUCAAGUCCUCAUGGCCCUUAUGACCAGGGCUUCACACGUCAUACAAUGGUCGGUACAGAGGGUAGCCAAGCCGCGAGGCGGAGCCAAUCUCACAAAACCGAUCGUAGUCCGGAUUGCACUCUGCAACUCGAGUGCAUGAAGUCGGAAUCGCUAGUAAUCGCAGGUCAGCAUACUGCGGUGAAUACGUUCCCGGGUCUUGUACACACCGCCCGUCACACCAUGGGAGUGGGGAUACCAGAAGUAGGUAGGGUAACCGCAAGGAGUCCGCUUACCACGGUAUGCUUCAUGACUGGGGUGAAGUCGUAACAAGGUAGCCGUAGGGGAACCUGCGGCUGGAUCACCU
rnacentral:rRNA from 1 species